UGUAAAUAGAGAAUUAUACUGAAGGCUUCCAUGUCUCCAAAAGGAAGUAUGAAAUAUGACUGAGAGGGAAGUCUUAAUCAACCAAACUCUAGAAUUGCUUUCUCUUCAAUGUACGACAGAGUCUUUCUCUGGAACCCUGUUAGGGAGAAAGAAUGCAGCCUAACUUGGCAUUUUAGGUUUUCUGUGAGAUAUUAUGAUAGCUACCCAGACAGUUCUGACUUUGAGAUCCUAGUUCUCAGUUGUGACUUGUCUCCUGCAGAAAACAAUGCUCCUUCAUGUCACAGACAGGAAGGCGUCUGCCUGGCUCUCUUGAUGAAGGACAGAGGUGAGACUAUAACUUCUAUCCCUGUAUAGGGACAGACACCAGCAUGCUGGUAGGAUUUUUAAGAAUUCUGAGAUUUCCAGUAAAUGAGGUUUCUAGUGACUUCCCUCAGCCAGUGGGUAUUGAUCAUAUUGAUAUUAAGAUCUUGAUCACAUAUUUGAACUUCUAGGAAUCUAGUAGUAUUUAUUCCACAUCCUGUGUUCUGUUUGUGCUUCCAUUUCUUGUUUUCCACCCACAAUGUCUCUUCUAUAACAUUUGUUAUAAUUUUGAGAAGUUGAGCUGAGGUAAAACAUUGAAUUGAUUUUUACAUAAAUUAAUACCUAUUAUUUAUAUAGUAGGUAAGUUAUUAAAUUUUAGAGCAAGGACUACAAAUAUUCCCUUCAGUAUAUAGUGUCCCAAAGGGGAUAGGAACAGACAGAGGAAUUUGCUAAGAAAAUGAAAUUAGAAAGCUGCUGACACUAAGUCUCUUUCUCAGGAAAAAUCAGAAAACUUCCCUCGCUCCCCUUCCACAGCCCCUAACUGAUGAGGCUGCUCAUGGGAAGAGUAGCUGUGUCAGCCACUUCCCUUUCCUCAAAUUUUCAAUGGAAACAACUAGAAACUGCAAGAGACUUACUGGGUGGCAACUGUCCAGUUUCAGCAUAAUAGCUGUGAAGAUCCGCAAGUUACUGGAUGGAGCAUUGAUGACUAGAAAACCAGUAAAAGGAGUGUCUUCCCAGCUCUGCAUAUUGACUAUCCCCACUUACAUUUUGAGUGUUCUCUCCACUGUCUGACUCCCAUUCUAGGCUUUCUGUUGGCCUCCUUCCUCUUCCAUGUUCCCUUUUCACUCUUUAUAAUUUGGGAUAUUUAUACUGUUUAGAAAUCUUCUGUUAUCAUAAGAAAUGCUGAAAUGAACAUUUCAUAGUUAAUUUGGCACAUACCUCUAAGAAUUAUCUUAGGAUAAAUUCCUCAAAGGGAAAUUAUAAAACCAGUGUAUAGAUCAUUAUAUUGCGUUAAUUGCCAAAAAGUCCUCAGAAAGGUAUAAUUUAUUUUCACUUGAAAGUAUAUGAAUCUCAGCAAGGUGAGUGAGAAAAAAAAGUUGGGGGGACUUUACUGGAAUGUAAUACUGGACAUUCAAAGCAGACUCAGGAGGUUGGCUCUAAUAAAAUAAGAAAGCCCCAGCUCCACAUCUGCUGCAGUGACCAGAGGCACCAGCCAGAGCGGUCCCCAAGCAAAGUGGAGGGAUAAGGGAAUUAAAGGAACCCACAUUUUUAAGAGGCCUGAGGUGUAUCUGGGCACAGAGAGUUCAGAGAUCAAAGACAUUGCUCUACUAAACGGAAAGGCAUGUUGCACAAUAUCCUUGUGUGGGAAAGAAGCCACCAUCUCUCCAGGCUGCAUGCAGAGGACAGAGAAAGAAACCAUUUUACGGCCUUGUCAUGAGGGCUGACAGCUAAGUGAGCUAAUUCCUGGCAAACCUGAGUUUUGUCUAAAACACAGGCCUGGAAAAUCCAAAUUGCAUGAUAUAGAGUGUGCCUGAGUGACUAGGAGAAAAUCAAAUGUGGAGAGAGAUUUACAUGGGGGAAUGUUGGUCUUGGAAACUCACCUGGCUCUACCCUACCCCUCCAAUCUGACUGCUUGCAGACUGGCCGGGAGAGAUGACCCUAGAUGGAAAUUUGAAAGAUGAGGAGCAGGAGACAUUGACUUUGGAGACUGAACCCAAGACCAGGAAACAUGGGGUCUGCAGGUGACAUAGUGGACUAAGAAUUGGCUCUUCCACCAAGUGGCACCCAGGAAAGAUCCUUAGGGUCCAGUCUUCUAGUGUGGAUCAGCAAUUUCUGGGCCCUGGAGGCACACUAAUUUAAAGUCUCCACACCAACUGAAAUGUAGCAAAGAGCCUGGAGCAUACCUAAACUUAAGCCCCACCUCCAGGAUUUCCUCCUAUGGGAUUACCCCCUCUUACUACAGCAAUCCAACAGAGAGCGGGGCAUCAUGAUCCAGAUGAUGCCACCUAACACUACUGAGAAGCUGAAAAUCGUUUGAACUCCAAUGGAAAGGAUUCUUCAACUUUAUAUCAAGAUUUUUUUCUCUUUCCUUAUUCUUUUCUGUUUAAUUGUGACCUUAAUUGUUCAUGGAUUUUUUUUUCUUCUUCUUCUCCUUCUCCUCCUCCUCCUCCUUCUCCUUCUCCUUUUUCUUUGGAUUGAACACAGAGGCACUCAGCCACCGAGCCACAUCCUCGGCCCUAUUUUGUAUUUUAUUUAGAGAUAGGGUCUCAUUGAGUUACUUAGUGCCUUGCUUUUUGUUGAGGCUGGCUUUGAACUCGUGAUCCUUCUGCCUCAGCCUCCCGAGCAGCUGGAUUACAGGUGUGGACCACUGAGCCCAACUUCAUGGACGUUUAUACUUAUUCAUAUUUGUAUUUUCUCUCAUUUCUGGCACUUUUGAAGCCAAUUAAUUUUCAUGGAUUUUUUAAACUAGGAUGUUUUAUUAGUAUAUUUCAGUUUUGUAUUCUCUUAUUUUUAAGUUUUCAAUGUUUACUUUACAUAUAUUUUAUUCUCUUACCUGUUUCCCUUGAUUCUCUUUCUCUCUUUUCUUUUGCUAAUAGCCAAUCUCUAUUCUUUCAUUCUUUCUUUAAUUUUUUACUUCCAUCUUCUCUCCUCCCUCAUACUUAUCACAUCCUAUAUCACUUCUGUUCUCUCCCUGUCCACCAUUCAAAAUUAUAAAGUCUUUGCAAACUUAAUGUUUUUAUUGUAGGCAAUAACUGAUCAUAUCAUUUAUGUUUAUUGUGACAAUUAACAUUGUAAAUGUCAUAGUAGGAACUAUUUGGUCUAAGGCUAUAUAUUGUUUGCAUUGGUUGUUAUUAUUAUUAUUUAUAUGUAACAGCAGAAUGCAUUACAAUUCUUAUUACAUAUACAGAGCUUAAUUUUUCAUAUCUCUGUAUACAUAGUGUACUCACACCAAUUCGUGUCUUCAUACAUGUACUUUAGAUAAUAAUGAUCAUGACAUUCCACCAUCAUUAAUUACCCCAUGCUCCCUCCCUUCUCCUUCAACCCCUCUUCCCUAUCUAGAGUUCCUCUAUUCUUCCCAUGCUUCCCCUCCCUAUCCCACUAUGAAUAAACCUCCUUAUAUCAAAGAAAAUAUUUGGCAUUUGGUUUUUUGGGAUUGGCUAACUUCAUUUAGCAUUAUCUUCUCUAAGUCCAUCCAUUUACCUGCAAAUGCCGAGAUUUUAUUUGAUUCUUCUUAUCUUGUAUAAUACUCUUUUGAUGUGGUAAGCCAUUAAUUGAAAUUUUGCUUUGUUUUGUUUUCUGUUUUCACUGAGAAGUCAUUGGUUCAAGGGUCUAUGGAUUCUAAUGACAGUGGGAAAACUUGAAAAACAGUGGACUGGUUGUUGGCUCUGGCCUUACCAGAAUUAAUCUAGAGUUGUAGAAGGAGCUAUGCACUUAGAUUAUAUCAGGUAAAACACAGGUGAUGGAGUCAUAAACAUCCAGCUCUAUCAGUGCCCCAGAGAAAGUAGCUUUCAAAACUUUUUCUUUUGUUUCUAUAAAUACUCAUUCUUGAACACUACUGCUUCCAUUACUCAAAAUAUAUUAGUCUUAUUAUGUUCAAUAUUGUGCUAACUUAUAAAAAUACAUGAAGGUUAGUUACAUUUCAUUUUUAUACACACAACGCUUCUCUAUGUUGCUCCAAAUGUAUAAGGUACAAAUUCAAAUUGAGUCUUAGGUAAGUUGAUGGUUCAAAGCUUAUAAUCUGGAUUCCUAUUCAUUUUUCUAUUCUACACCUUUUUUAAAAAACAUUUUUUUAGUUAUACAUGGACACGAUAUCUUUAUUUUGUUUAUUUAUUUUAUGUGGUACUGAGCAUCAAACCCAGUGCCUUACAUGUGAGAGGCAAGCUCUCUGCCACUGAACCACAACUCCAGGCCCCCUAUUCUGCAUCAUAAUAAUCAAGAAUAAAUUUGAAAUAAUAUGGUUAUGUGAAAGAUGCAAUAAGUGCCUAAUGACAGAGAAAUGACAGCAAUUUUUAAUACCCAAUACCCCUCAUAGGAUGCUGUGUGCUUUUCAACUCAAUUUGUCCUCUAGUUACAAUUGAGAUAGGGUUAUAUUACAUGUUUGAGUUACACACUUUUUUUGCAGGGGGUUUUAAAUUAUUUUUACUUUUUCUUUGAGGUUUUGUACCAGAUUUCUAAUAUUAAUGUUAUUGGGCUAUUAGGUUGCAAACUGUAAGCAAUGGUCUCUCUACGGUUUUCCUGUUAUCUAAAAUAAUAAGAGUAUUAGCCUUGAAUGGGGCUGCAAGUAGUUUUUCUGUUCCAACCUAUGGUAGGAGUUCUUUCUAUAAAAUAUUAUUAGAGAAAAAAGAUGGUAACUUAAGGGCAGAUGUUGGAUAAAAAUUCAAUUCACUGAAAAUCAGGCAAGACAUGUACUUUGUGUGGAUGCCAAUUUCUUCAUCAUAAAAUAGAGAUAAUAGUCCUUACCUCAUUAAGUUGUUUUGAAGACAAAAUGAAAUUUUAAAAAUAAAACAUGGAAAAAUAUGUUUGAAACUCUAAAACACUGUAAAAAACACAAGGGACAAACUUAAGUUUACCAAGAGGGUGGCUGUUUAUCCUUGGUGUGGCGCUAAAUCAAUUCUGCUUUACUCCUAGUGGAGAAGACAUUAAUUGGACUUCUGAAUGUGGCUAUAGGUUUACUCAUUUAUCCUUUCAAAUCCUUAUGAAACCCCAAAGAUGAGAAAAUAUUGCUUACCAUCGGUUUUCUUUCCUAGUGGUAAAGUUUGGGCUUCUGGGAAAUAUUAGUAAAAAAUGUAUUUAAAUGAGCUUCUGAAUAUAAAAUGAAGAGCUUAUUAUGAAAACUUCAAAUCUAUUUUAACUUUACCAAGCUGCCAUUUAGAUUAGCAGAAAUGUAUUCAUUUCAUAGCAAAAAAGUUAUACUUAUUUUAAAAAUAAUGUUAAAUAUUCAAUAACAUAUUAGAAUGGUCUUAGAAAGAUUAAUAAUCAAAAUUUUGGAGAAAAUAAUAAAGCAUACAAUGGAGGAAAAAUUAAUGACUUGAAAAUCUUAUAACACAAACUUAUUAAUACAGUUCUUUACAGGAACAAAUUAAUUCUGCAUGUAUAUUUGAUAAUAAAACAGUCUUAGACAAAUGGAAUAUUGGGAUUGGAUAAUAUUCGUCUCAUUGAACUCCUACUGUCUAGUAGUAAAGUCCUGAGCCAGUGAUUGUCUGGAGUCGGGGGUCUGUUUAUGUGUUUCCACAGGGAGAACAGCAGCCGAUUUGGAUUCCAGAAAGAUUAACUAAAGCGAUUUCUACAGACCAAAAAGAAGAUGAUUUGGCUCAAAUCCAUAACAACUGAUAUCCAAAACUCCAGUUUGGCUAUUCUUACAUCUGCAACAGAACCAGGAUGC
rnacentral:lncRNA from 1 species